GCGUCAGUAGUGCAACCGGUCAGAGCAAGCGCUCCCGGAUAGAGUGAGGUGUGGGUUUGAGUCCCGCCUGAUGCG